rnacentral:lncRNA from 1 species
CCGCGGGAAGCGGGAGCAGGCGGGAAGAGCCCUCGGCGGUGGGAGCGGUCUAGAAGGGCCCCUCGGCACACACACAGCUGUGCGGGCGAGUGGCAGGGAUCUUGCGAACGUCGGCUCGGCUCGGCUUCCCUCAGCAGAGGGCUGCGCUCGCAGGUGUGUAGCGCUGCGGUGCUCAGCCCGCUCCUGGUCGAUGCGUGUGGGGUUACUGGUUCGUAGAACUCGUUAAGAACUCGGCAACAAAGUUUAAGUCGACAAGCAGACACAUAAAUGUCAAUAAACUGACCCCAGCGCAUGAAGCCAAGCACAGACCUGGGGUAAAUUCAAAGGACUGGGACUUUAGACCAGGUCAUACUCCAUAAACCUCUCAUCAUUCCUCCUUUCUCUUCUGGACUAUGUCAGGUUUGCCUGUGUCUUUGUUGAACUGCAGAGUCCCAAAAUGAACUCCUCGUCCUGUCCUCCAUCAGUGGCUCUGACUCUGCCAAGUAAAGCAAAAUGAUUGCUUUCCAGGUUUUAUAUGCAAUGCCACGUUCAAUGGCCUGGAAUUAGAUUUACUUACUCUCUGGCAGCAUGUUGCUACUAAUAGACAUUUAGCUUUGAUUCGCUAUCCACAUGUGAUCACUUUCUGAUUAUUUUGGCUAUUUUGAACUCAUAUACUUGAUUUCAAAUUGCAGUAUGUAGUACUUUGUUUGUUAUUAAAGU